rnacentral:lncRNA from 1 species
GUUUGUUUGUUUAAAAUGGAGCCUCGCAAUGUAAUAUGAGCUCACUUCAAACUUGUAAUCCUCCUGCCUCAGUCUCCUGAGUGCCGGGAUUACAGGUGUGAGCUACCAUCCCUAGUUAGGACCAGAGAUUUUUUUUCUUAAAGAAAUUUGUUAUUUGUCUAUUUUAAAGUUAGAACACUAACUGAAAGAAGAUGGCAGCUACCUUCAAAAUGAGAACGAGACGCAACAAUGAUGUUCACCAGGAGGGAAAUUCUGCUGAAACACUUUUCUCAUUCAUCCAGUUGCUGCCAAUGGCUCCUGUUGGUUUCCUGCUAUGUGAAGAUUUUUUGUGGAGAAUCCUAGGUACAUGGACUUUCAACUUACCCACUAACAUUUACAGACUGGAAACAGUUUCUGGAGAAUAUCCUUGGAUGGAUGAACUGGGAGUUUUUCCAACUCAUUGCAGUACUGAC